rnacentral:rRNA from 1 species
GAACCGGAGCUAAUACCGGAUAAUAUAUUGAACCGCAUGGUUCAAUAGUGAAAGACGGUUUUGCUGUCACUUAUAGAUGGAUCCGCGCCGCAUUAGCUAGUUGGUAAGGUAACGGCUUACCAAGGCAACGAUGCGUAGCCGACCUGAGAGGGUGAUCGGCCACACUGGAACUGAGACACGGUCCAG